UCCCCUUCUCCAUUUCUUCGCCAAUCUACCUUUUCUCCUCUCUUCUUUCCUUCCUCCACGAGAUGCGUCUCAUUUGAAAUUUCGUGCGUGAAUUUGCAAAGCAGUCCCUAGUGGGUCCCACGCACCACGCCUCCCCCACUCUCUCCAACUCAACCGUUUCCCUCUUUUUCUUCCCCGGGCCCCGCCUGUCGCCAUCGGACGAUUCCGGCUCGCGUGCCCGGUGGCGCAUCGCGGCCGUCGAGCUGUCGAUCCGUGCGGCGAUGCAGGCGCCGCGUGGCGGAGCCUUCCUCGGGAAGCGGAAGGAGCGGGAGUACUACUACCCCUCCUCGUCCUACUCGUCGGAGCAGGCGGUGCCGCUCGCGCGGCCGCCGCCGUUCGCUAAGCCCGACCCGCGCGGCAAGCCGGAUCGCCCUGCGGCUCGGCUUAGCGCCAAGCCGCUGCUUGCCCCGCCGCCGGGGGCGGCUGGCCUGGGCGGAGGCGGCGGCAACAAGCUGCUGGCCGGGUACCUGGCGCACGAGUUCCUGAGGUGCGGCACGCUCCUCGGCGAGCGGCGGCUCGUGCCGCCGCAGCCGAUCCGGAAGGAGAAGGAGCCCGCUGCCGUCGCCGCGCUCGAGGCGCGCAGGCGGUACACGGAGGUGUCGCGACUGCUCGUUGCGGGCGGGGCCCGCAUCCCCGGCGUCGUCAACCCGGCGCAGCUAGGCCGCUGGCUCCGGAUCAAGGAGUAGUGUCCGACCGCGUCUGCGCUCCGGAGGCUGGAGGGGUGUUGGGGGGGGGGGCACGCGGCGGGGCGGCAUUUGCUGCGCUCUCCUCGCCGGCCUUGCGCGCGCACGAGGCGGCGACCGAUCGACCCCGAAGAACAGCCGAUGCUCUGGACAUAGCAAGCAGGAGUGGGUGGCUUUGCUGUUCUUCUCCGACAGCGACACGAGGGAUCGAAAGAGCAAGAGGACGCUUCGGUACAGUAGACCGGCCGGGUGACCGACAGCUGCUGGCAACAAGAAAAGAAAACCGAUGAAUGAGUGGACAAAGCAGGGCAAAGGUGAUGUGAAAGAAACAUGCCUGUUAUUCUCUGCUUAUCGGGAAGCAAAACGAUGUACGCAAACAAUGGUUUGUAGGAUCUUGCAAGAUGUGCGCGCAACAAUGGUUUGUGCAGACACGCCCCUGGUAUGUUGAGUGGGGAGAAGAUGUGCACAAGCAGAUGAACUUCACAAUGGGCUCACGUUCGUCUCCUAUGGAAGGCCUUGGCAACGUAGUAAUUCGUGGGUUCGGGUUGUUGGGCGAUUGUUGGAUAGGAUGCAGUCAUGAAGCACUCGCCUGUCACAUAUUAGAAAUUUCAGAAAUUUUAACGUGAGAAUUUUUUUUG